rnacentral:rRNA from 1 species
UACGUAGGGUGCAAGCGUUUAAUCGGAAUUACUGGGGCGUAAAGCGUGCGCAGGCGGUUAUGUAAGACAGUUGUGAAAUCCCCGGGCUCAACCUGGGAACUGCAUUCAAAACUGUCGAGCUAAGAGUAUGGUAGAGGGUGGUGGAAUUUCCGGUGUAGCGGUGAAAUGCGUAGAUAUCGGAAGGAACAUCAGUGGCGAAAGCGACUUCCUGGACCAAUACUGACGCUCAUGUGCGAAAGCGUGGG